GAAGUGUGGACAGAUCCUUGCAACAUGGGGCCAUGUAUUAUCAUGUUGGAAUAUGAGGUGAUGGUCGUGGAUCAAUGGCACAACUGAUCAACUCGACAGCAUACAGGAAAUGGCUUAUUUCUCCUGAGCAGACGUGCCUGAACGAGGAAGCGGCUAACCACAUGAAACUAACGCGAUCCAGCGUGUUUACUUGCCAACAUUUGCACAGUUACCUGGUGAAGGAGAAAAUCCCUGUGAGGUGGUCUUCUCACAAUGUGGACUGCAGAGAAGGCAGCCUGUAAUAGAGGAAACAGUGAAUUAAUAAAAUAAGCCCCCCGAAUGGAAG